rnacentral:rRNA from 1 species
AUUGAACGCAGGCGGCAGGCUUAACACAUGCAAGUCGAGCGGGGUGAUGGUGCUUGCACUAUCACCUAGCGGCGGACGGGUGAGUAAUGCUUAGGAAUCUGCCUAUUAGUGGGGGACAACAUUUCGAAAGGAAUGCUAAUACCGCAUACGUCCUACGGGAGAAAGCAGGGGAUCUUCGGACCUUGCGCUAAUAGAUGAGCCUAAGUCGGAUUAGCUAGUUGGUGGGGUAAAGGCCUACCAAGGCGACGAUCUGUAGCGGGUCUGAGAGGAUGAUCCGCCACACUGGGACUGAGACACGGCCCAGACUCCUACGGGAGGCAGCAGUGGGGAAUAUUGGACAAUGGGCGCAAGCCUGAUCCAGCCAUGCCGCGUGUGUGAGGAAGGCCUUAUGGUUGUAAAGCACUUUAAGCGAGGAGGAGGCUACUUUAGAUAAUACCUAGAGAUAGUGGACGUUACUCGCAGAAUAAGCACCGGCUAACUCUGUGCCAGCCGCCGCCGUAAAAC